UACAGAGGGUGCAAGCGUUAAUCGGAAUUACUGGGUGUAAAGCGUGCGUAGACGGUUAUGUAAGUCGGGUGUGAAAGCCCCGGGCUCAACCUGGGAAUUGCGAUGGAGACUGCAAGGCUUGAAUCUGGCAGAGGGGGGUAGAAUUCCACGUGUAGCAGUGAAAUGCGUAGAGAUGUGGAGGAACACCGAUGGCGAAGGCAGCCCCCUGGGUCAAGAUUGACGCUCAUGCACGAAAGCGUGGGGAGCAAACAGG
rnacentral:rRNA from 1 species